rfam:Trichobilharzia regenti genome assembly, scaffold: TRE_scaffold0000423
GUACCGCUGAAGAGUCCCAAACUAGGACGAAAUAGCUGUCCAGUAC